UUCAUUUUCGACGCCGAGUUUUCGAUGCCAAGACGAAGGUAGGUGAAAGAGAAGACCCCUCGAACAAGAACGAGUCUCCAGAAGCGAUCGAGUCGAGCAGGAAGACGACUUUUUGAAUUUCGCCGAGCGAGCGCUGAUGACGUAAUGAGGGAUUAGCUUGCCAGUGGAAAUGCAUCUGCGCACAUACAUUUCACAUACUUUUUGGCCAAUUUUCAAUCGAAGAGGAGGUUGUUUUCUAUGUUCUCUCGACGUCGUGAGCGAUCCCGUCUUCUAUACCCUUCCAGGUACCCUGAAGGUCCUCCAGAGGAGAAUUUAUCUCCAGCGAAGCGUUGUUGAUCCGCUAAAUUCGUCUCGAGACAUAUUCACCCAGUGCAGUGCUGAUAAAAUUAAUGUAGAAUGUUGAAUCUGUGAUAAUUGUUGACGAUGGAGAGAGAGGCUGAUAGCCGCUGUCGCAGGGAGAGUGAAGCUGCUGGAAGUAACAACGGGAAGCCCGUUUGUAUCACCUGAACAACCAGACUUCAAAGCAGCUUGACCAAAUCGGAGGGUGCCUCGGUGCUUAUCGUGAAUAUUACACCGACAUGAAUUACUACAAGUACACUGGUCUGUCCAAUAUGCAUUGACAGUAUUGGGUAUGGUAUCUGCUCUGAGAAGGGAAUCGCUGGAGCCACAGUCCAACUAGACAGGCUUUCAAGAAACAGAGAGGAUCCAUCUUUCCAAGCUGAUACCUGAUGUGUACCGACAGAAUUCUCACGAGAUACCUUACGGACAACGUGUGGUGUGUACUUCAUAGUACUCCUUCGACUACUAUCUAGAAUCAAGUCGACCGAAACAAGUCAAACAACUCUGGCUUCAAACGAGCCGUCGAUUAGACAAACAAAACAUUCUCUCAUAUACUGGAGCACUCUGACAACUCACGACCUAUUCCUAACGAUUUCCACCGCUUAUACAUAUGUAGAGUGCUGAUUGGAAUGUGCUCACAAUUUCAACAAUUCAGUGCUAUAAUUAUUUGAACAAUGUGUUAGAAAUUAUUCCACUUUUCCUUCCAUAAAUGUUGUAUCCACAUAUAAUCCACAGUGCUCCGAAGUUUCAGAGUUCUCAGGGUAUCAAACAAAAUUAUUUCAAAUACA